AUUGAACGCUGGCGGCAUGCUUUACACAUGCAAGUCGAACGGCAGCGCGGGGCAACCUGGCGGCGAGUGGCGAACGGGUGAGUAAUACAUCGGAACGUACCCAGAAGUGGGGGAUAACGUAGCGAAAGUUACGCUAAUACCGCAUACGUUCUACGGAAGAAAGUGGGGGACCUUCGGGCCUCAUGCUUUUGGAGCGGCCGAUGUCUGAUUAGCUAGUUGGUGAGGUAAAGGCUCACCAAGGCGACGAUCAGUAGCUGGUCUGAGAGGACGACCAGCCACACUGGGACUGAGACACGGCCCAGACUCCUACGGGAGGCAGCAGUGGGGAAUUUUGGACAAUGGGCGCAAGCCUGAUCCAGCAAUGCAGCGUGAGUGAAGAAGGCCUUCGGGUUGUAAAGCUCUUUUGUCAGGGAAGAAACGGCUGAGGAUAAUACCUUCGGCUAAUGACGGUACCUGAAGAAUAAGCACCGGCUAACUACGUG
rnacentral:rRNA from 1 species